rnacentral:tRNA from 1 species
UUAGUUUAAUAAACAUUAAAUUGCAAAUUUAAAAUUCUAAUUAAAAAAUCAUUAGAUGGUGAACUAUCGCAGUAA